rnacentral:rRNA from 1 species
UACGGAGGGUGCAAGCGUUGCUCGGAAUCACUGGGCGUAAAGAGCGUGUAGGCGGUUUCGUAUGUCUGGCGUGAAAGCCCCGGGCUCAACCCGGGAAGUGCGUUGGAAACUGCGAAACUAGAGUCUCGGAGAGGAAGGUGGAAUUCCAGGUGUAGCGGUGAAAUGCGUAGAUAUCUGGAAGAACACCGGUGGCGAAGGCGGCCUUCUGGACGAUGACUGACGCUGAGACGCGAAAGCGUGGGGAGCAAACAGG